UACGAAGGGGGCUAGCGUUGUUCGGAAUUACUGGGCGUAAAGCGCACGUAGGCGGAUUGUUAAGUUAGGGGUGAAAUCCCAGGGCUCAACCCUGGAACUGCCUUUAAUACUGGCAAUCUCGAGUCCGAGAGAGGUGAGUGGAAUUCCGAGUGUAGAGGUGAAAUUCGUAGAUAUUCGGAGGAACACCAGUGGCGAAGGCGGCUCACUGGCUCGAUACUGACGCUGAGGUGCGAAAGCGUGGGGAGCAAACAGG
rnacentral:rRNA from 1 species